AACGAACGCUGGCGGCAGGCUUAACACAUGCAAGUCGAACGAGAUCUUCGGAUCUAGUGGCAGACGGGUGAGGAACACGUGGGAACAUCCCUUUCAGUUCGGAAUAACGUUGGGAAACUAACGCUAAUACCGGAUACGUCCUUCGGGAGAAAGAUUUAUCGCUGAAAGAUUGGCCCGCGUCUGAUUAGCUAGUUGGUGAGGUAAUGGCUCACCAAGGCUACGAUCAGUAGCUGAUCUGAGAGGAUGAUCAGCCACAUUGGGACUGAGACACGGCCCAAACUCGUACGGGAGGCAGCAGUGGGGGAUAUUGGACAAUGGGCGCAAGCCUGAUCCAGCCAUGCCGCGUGAGUGAUGAAGGCCUUCGGGUUGUAAAGCUCUUUUAUCCGGGAAGAUAAUGACUGUACCGGAAGAAUAAGCCCCGGCAAACUUCGUGCCAGCCGCCGCCGUAA
rnacentral:rRNA from 1 species